GGUAAGGACCUGAGGGCCUUCACAAUCGGGGGAUUUCCUCCUGUCCCUGGUGCCUCUGUUCUCCUCAUAUCUGCUGUCCCCACAGUCUCCCGUCUCCCCACAGCAUCUGCCCCGAUUCCUGUCUGCCUGUAGAGUUGCCCUUGGCUUGUGUUCUGAUUCGGGGACCUACAAGGACCCCCUGCUAGGACCUAGUGGGCCUCUGGUCUGCUUCCUUCAGGGCCUUCAAGGGGUCAGAGGUGAGUCUGAGUCACAGGAGGACCUGGAGAGAUGCACCUCUAAGAAUGCAGUCUCCAGCUAGGACUGUUCCUUAUCUUCCAGCUAGAUAGAUGGUUGCCUGACCUUCAACAGAGCUAUAAACAGCACGGCCUGUCAGCACUGCUAGGCGCUGCCGAGAACAGCUCAAGAUGCUUCGCUCCAGGGGCCUGGAAAUUCCAGGAAUUGCCAGCACAGCCACCCCCCAGAAUAGUUUCACACUGUCCUCCCUUCUCUUCCCAAGGGUUCUCUGCUCCCAGCGUCCCCAUCUCAGCUAGGAGAGUUCAAUAAUGCUGAAACUGAAGCCCGAGGGAGGCGGAAGCCCUCUGGACUGUGGCCCAGGCAAGCCUGCCAGGUAGGAUGGAGGUCCUGAGAGCAAAGGCCUUCUAAUAAGGAGGCGGGCCUGACCCAGCCCACAGCCCGUUUGCACACUAGCCUCACAGCCAGCCUCCUUUCCACACUUGCACUCUCCCAAGUGUGGACCGAACUCUCCCAUUUCACAGGUGAGACAAUUCAGCCUGUGCUAGAAUGGAACAAAGACACUUGCUUCUUUCCUAAGGCGGAGGGUGCCCCAGCCAUGAGGGGGCAAGGCCCCACACCCAGCUCCAGCAUCUGGCCAGAGGCAGGGGCCCGGUGAGGGCUGGACCUGUUGAUCUGCUUCCUCAACUCUGCUUCGUGGAGAACUGGCUAAGGUUGACGCCAUAGUGCCUGUGUGGAGGGUGUGCGCAAGGCGAUAGCCAAGCUAUCACCCAGCAUGCAGGCGGCAGCUGCUCUUCCUGGGCGGAACACAUACCUGCUUUUGAGAGAGGCCAGCUUCCACCAGGGCCUAGAGACUGACAGGCAAAGGACCAGGCUUGGGAGUUAAGCUGUGCCAGGACAUUGACUGUGCCUGAAGCAGGGGACUGCUGAAGAUGGAUGGCGUCAUGACACUGUGUCUCUGUGAGUAGACUGUUUCUGGUCCAGAAGGUACUUGUAAGCCUCGGCAGCAAAUGCCACAGGCCUAGUGUUCACGGAGUCUGUCUUUCCAUCGGCACUGGGCCUGACAUGCCCAAGCCAGGGGUGCCAAAGCCCACUGUAUCUGUGGCCCACUAGUUGCAUUUUCCAGGAGACUGCAAGACCUGACAAGACCAUUGCUCGGGCCACCCUGCUCCAGGUGAUUUGAGGUAUGUAUCAGAAAAGAGCCCAUCUCCCAAUGCCCUGGCUUCUAUUUUGAAAUGUCUCCCUAGCUUUAGCUUCCAGCACACCCCAACUACCCCCUCUUUGAAUGAGGAUGUUCUUCCUGCUGUCUAGCUUAAAGCCUCUGUGCUGUCAUUUAAGCCCUGGCCAUCCGGGGCCAGGUGGUGCAUAGGUCCUGAGUGAGGUCAUUGGCUUUUCUGGGUGUCACUGAUCCUGGAGAUGAAUUUGUUCCCAUCAGACGGAGCAGGGCACACCAGCAAUGAGCCUUGGGGACGGUGGGCUCAAUCCUAGGCACUGGAGGCCGGAGGGUACAGGAGGAUGAUUCAAGAGAACCCAUCUUAUACAGGGAGGAAACUCGUAGCCAUGGGGGUGGGGAUUGUGCAGAGCCUGGGCUGGGGUAGCCACUGGACUCACAUGCCCACAUGUCACCACAUCGUCAAGCAGAAUGUACAUGGUUUAGGGUGUCCUCUUAAUAGGGGCCCUGUGGUUUUCAGGGCAGUAGGUCUGGAGGGCAGAGACUUCAGAUAUACAGCUGAGAGGUGAGGACAACGUCCUUCCCCAAAGGCCACUCUAAGUGCCCAGCUUAAAGGUAGUCUAAGGAACAAGAUCGCUUCAGUGGAAGUACUGGGCCCUACCCCUCCAUCAAGCGCCUCCAGGCUUCCCAACUAACCCUGAGUGCUAGCCCCAGGUCUGAGGCAAGUCUCUGGCACUCUGUGGAAGAAAGAGCCAUCCAAUAUACCUGAUUCCACCCUCCAACUCCACAGUGACAUCCUGGAGUCUAACCUUGCCCCUUAAGCCAGCCCAGAUCAGUCCUGCCAGGGGCUCAGCCACCAAGCAGGUUAUACUUGUUCUCUGUGUGCUUCUCAGUACCCUAAGCCAUGGGGCCUUCUGUCCCAGAUCUAGCAGCACUUACUUGUAGGGUGCCUUAUCUAACAAGUACUGAGCCGAUAGCAACAGGCAUGGCCCAGGUGCUGGGACUAUAGCGAUAAAGACCCUCCUCUCUUCCUUUCAAGCAUGUUUACUUGUUAUCUCUGGGCCUCAGUUUCUCCCACCAAUGGGAACUACCCUCAUAACACCUUAGGUUCAGUGCCAUUUCCAAUGGGCAGAGCUGUUUCUCACCAUAUACUACAAGACCCAGGGGCCAUUGCCCCAGCCUAGCAGGGCGAAGGUGUGAGACAGGCAUCCCUGGCCUCAAAUGAGGAAGAGGCAGGUGGUGUGAGGUUCCUGCCAGGCCCACUACGGCAGGGACAGGAGGGGUUGGUGUGGUGGUCUGGGGACACUAGGGACCAGCAACUAGUCUAGCCUGGACUUAUGUCAUGACAGCAAGGCAGCGGGGUGACAGUCUGUCCACUCACCUGCCUGGUACCUGCCUUCCUUAUGCUGGGAAUGCUCUUUCCUAUGCAACUACCUGCUUUUAGGGAGGGACUCCAAGCUUGGGAGUACCCCAAGCCUGCCCUGCUAGUGAAGGGCUUAGGGAGGCCCCACGCUCUCUGCCCACACGCCUACCCACCCUGCAAACUCAGCAUUUUCUCCUCUGCUCAAAAUGCCAACUAUUUGCCCAUGACGUCUUGCUUAGGUGGGCAAAGUCCGAGGAACAACCUGGGGUGGGGGAGCAAAUUCAGCUGUGGCCAAGAUCAGACCAGUCCAGUCCUAGACUCCAGACCAGGAAUAGGGCAAGCUCUGCUUUCCAAGAGCCCUGGGGAAGACAGACUGACUGACUGACAGGCAGAUGGACAUGAGCAUGCCCUCCUCCAAGAAUGCCCUGCCCCUUUGGGAAUAAGGCUGUGGGCAAUGUGC